rnacentral:rRNA from 1 species
UACGGAGGAUCCUAGUGUUAUCCGGAUUUAUUGGGUUCAAAGGGAGCGUAGGCGGGAGGUCAAGUCAGCUGUGAAAUGUAUCUGCUUAACGGGUACACUGCAGUUGAAACUGGUUUUCUUGAGUGCGUAAGAGGCAGGCGGAAUUCGUUGUGUAUCGGUGAAAUGCUUAGAUAUGACGAGGAACUCCUAUUGCGAAGGCAGCUUGCUGGGUCGUUACUGACGCUGAUGCUCGAAGGUGCGGGGAGCAAACAGGAUUAGA